AUACCUUUCUCGGCCUUUUGGCUAAGAUCAAGUGUAGUAUCUGUUCUUAUCAGUUUAAUAUCUGAUACGUGGAUCAUCGAUCCACUAUGAUAUUAAAUUAAUUUUUUGUUGGGGGAGGGCCCAUCACGGGAGCUUGCUGCCGGGGCCCUCGCGCGUCGCCCAUGCGUUGCGCUACUGCACGGGCCUGGCGCACCUGAC
rfam:Musa acuminata subsp. malaccensis Doubled-haploid Pahang (DH-Pahang) genomic chromosome, chr3